CUUUCUCCGCCGGCGACCGGCGCACGGGUGAGUAACACGUAUGCAACCUGCCCCUGUCAGGGGGACAACCCGCCGAAAGGCGGGCUAAACCCGCGUACAUGCCACCGGGGCAUCCCGGAGGCAGGAAGGCUUCGGCCGGACAGGGAUGGGCAUGCGGCGCAUUAGGCAGUAGGCGGGGUAACGGCCCACCUAACCGACGAUGCGUAGGGGUUCUGAGAGGAAGGUCCCCCACACUGGUACUGAGACACGGACCAGACUCCUACGGAAGGCAGCAG
rnacentral:rRNA from 1 species